rnacentral:rRNA from 1 species
GGGGAAUUUUGGACAAUGGGGGCAACCCUGAUCCAGCCAUUCCGCGUGAGUGAAGAAGGCCUUCGGGUUGUAAAGCUCUUUCGGCAGGAACGAAACGGUGGCCCCUAAUACGGGCUACUAAUGACGGUACCUGAAGAAGAAGCACCGGCUAACUACGUGCCAGCAGCCGCGGUAAUACGUAGGGUGCGAGCGUUAAUCGGAAUUACUGGGCGUAAAGCGUGCGCAGGCGGUUCUAUAAGACAGAUGUGAAAUCCCCGGGCUUAACCUGGGAACUGCGUUUGUGACUGUAGGACUCGAGUGUGGCAGAGGGGGGUGGAAUUCCACGUGUAGCAGUGAAAUGCGUAGAGAUGUGGAGGAACACCGAUGGCGAAGGCAGCCCCCUGGGUCAACACUGACGCUCAUGCACGAAAGCGUGGGGAGCAAAC